rnacentral:tRNA from 1 species
GAAUAUGAAGCGAUAAAUUGCAAUUAGUUUCGACCUAAUCUUAGAUGAUUUUCAACCAUCCUUAUUCU